GUGGGGAAUAUUGGACAAUGGGCGAAAGCCUGAUCCAGCCAUGCCGCGUGUGUGAAGAAGGUCUUCGGAUUGUAAAGCACUUUAAGUUGGGAGGAAGGGCAGUAAGUUAAUACCUUGCUGUUUUGACGUUACCGACAGAAUAAGCACCGGCUAACUUCGUGCCAGCAGCCGCGGUAAUACGAAGGGUGCAAGCGUUAAUCGGAAUUACUGGGCGUAAAGCGCGCGUAGGUGGUUUUGUAAGUUGGAGGUGAAAUCCCCGGGCUCAACCUGGGAACUGCCUCCAAAACUGCAUGACUAGAGUACGGUAGAGGGUAGUGGAAUUUCCUGUGUAGCGGUGAAGUGCGUAGAUAUAGGAAGGAACACCAGUGGCGAAGGCGACUACCUGGACUGAUACUGACACUGAGGUGCGAAAGCGUGGGGAGCAAACAGGAUUAGAAACCCUAGUAGUCC
rnacentral:rRNA from 1 species